GAGGGCAUAGCUCAGUGGUAGAGUACAUGCUUAGCAUGCAUGAGGUCCUGGGUUCAAUCCCCAGUACCUCCA
rnacentral:tRNA from 1 species